GGUGGACACCAGGGGCAGCCCUGCGCUGGUCCUGCGGGGCGCGCUUCCGGCCGCGCAGGCGCAGAAGGCCGCGUGCGGGGCCGCUUGAUGGGGCCGCAGAAAAGAAAAAAGAUCCUACUCGCUGUGAAAAAUGGAUUGGAAAAGAGAAAGCAGUGGGAGAGUGUGUAGGAAAGUGUUGCAGAAGCCCAGAAUAAAGUUCACUGGUCACCGACCUCAGGCCUAAGUUGAGACCCUCUUGGUCACUUUAAAUGCCGUAGAGGAGAGGCGGCAGUAGUUUUAUCCAUUUCUUCAAGGUCACCUAAGAAUCAGGUGUUGGUGGAAGAAGCUCAGGAGGGUGUGAGGCCUGAGUGGUGAAAGUCGUCGUUGUGUCCAUGGCAGCCAAGGGGGAGAGGGCCAGAGAGAAAGAUGCGGGCCCGGAAUCUCUCUGAGGAAGAGUGCCUUCAAACCAGCUCACAGGGCUGGCCCUGACUGACCUGGGAGUGGAUGGAGACCUGAGCUGGGAGAAGGAAAGCCCCCCUGGAGGGAGCUCGAGGAGGACGACACCAUGGAGACGAGACCCCAGGAAGGCAGGAAGGGCCCCCCUCGCAGGGACGUGCCCCCGGUGGUGGGGCUGCUGCUCUCCAUGGCCCUCAUGAAUGCCCUCCUCUACCUCUGCCUCGACUGGCUCUUCAUCUUGCCCCCGCGCUCUGUGGGAGAGCCCAGGCACUGUCCCCAUGGCCACUUCAGGAUGGGACAGAUGAGCAACUGCUCCCCGUGGCUGUCCUGUGAGCAGCUGAGGACGGAAGUGAGGCAGAUGAAGCGAGUUGGCGAAGGAGCCGUGAAGAGGGUAUUCCUGUCUGAGUGGAAGGAACGCAAGGUGGCUCUCUCUCGGCUCACCAGGUUGGAGAUGAAAGACGACUUCCUGCAUGGACUGCGGAUGCUGAAGUCGCUGCAAAGCAAGCAUGUGGUCACGCUGCUUGGCUUUUGUGAGGAUGACAGCACCAUCCUCACCGAGUAUCACCCCUUGGGCUCCCUGAGCAACCUGGAGGAGGCUCUGAGCCUCCCCAGAUACCAGAGCAUCAACACGUGGCAGCACAGGCUGCAGCUGGCCCUGGACUACGUGGGCAUCAUCAACUUCCUGCACAACAGCCCUCUGGGCACGCUGGUCAUGUGCGACUCCAGCGACCUGCCCAAGACGCUGUCCCAGUACCUGCUGACCGCCAACUUCAGCAUCGUGCUGAAUGACCUGGACGCCCUGCCCCUGGUAAACCACAGCUCCGGAGCCCUGGUGAAGUGUGGCCACAGGGAGCUCCGAGGGGACUUCGUGGCCCCAGAGCAGCUGUGGCCCUAUGGAGAGGACAUGCCUUUUCAGGACGACCUCAUGCCCGUGUAUGAUGAGAAGAUUGACAUCUGGAAGAUUCCAGACGUCUCCAGUUUCCUUCUGGGGCACGUGGAAGGGAGCGACAUGGUCCGGUUCCACUUGUUUGACAUUCACAAGGCGUGUAAGAGCCAGACGCCUGCAGAGAGACCCACCGCUCAGAACAUUCUGGACACUUACCAGAACGUCUUGAAUCUGCUCAGAGACACCGCGACUUCUCAGACCAGAGAGAUGCUGUAGAAUCCAGUACAGUGAGAGCUGGGUCAAGGAAGGCUGGAGGAGUUACAGCGGCUCCGCUCUGACCUGGGGUCUGUGUUAUUCCCGUGUGCUGCUUCCUCUCUGGCCACGUGCUCGUGUGAGCUUCCCUCUCCUGGCCACCUGGGCGACGGCACACUCAGUCCUGUGUAAGCCUGGCUCCAGGCGGAGAUGCAGAGAAGCAGUGAACCUGGCUCGAUGCUAAAGGAAGUACACAGCAGGCCUAACAACAGAAUAUGUAAGCCUGUAAGAAAUGUGUAUAGGGAAGGUUUUUAAUGGCAGUGUGUGGAAGAAACACAAGUGAUUCUCCAAAGAGUAUUUUUUUCCUCAUUUUUUUAGACGGGGUGUUUGUGGUGUAUUUCACAUGAUACCAAGGAGGCCACCUCUACCGUUUUAAAUGAUCUGUGAGGCUCCUGUGCCUUUCACUUCCCAAUGAGCUAGCAUGCUCUUUGAAAUUUUGAAUGGAUAAGGAAUACUUUUUUAAACAUUUUAUUUUUAUUAUUAUGGGUUUUUGGUUCGUUUGUGUGUUUUUUGUUUUUUGUUUUUUUUGCCCCUACCUGUGGGCGUUCCCAGACCAAAAAUCCAACCUGAGCCACAGCAGCAACCCAAGCCAGUGUCCUGUCAGCACUGAAUCCCUAACCCACCAAGCCACAAGGAAUCCCCAGGAAUAUUUAAAAUAUCACUUAUGAAGGAAAUUAUAUCUGUGUUACUGCUUUGAAUGGUGCAGUAACCAUUUACCCUUCAGCUGGAUUUUCUGAGUCUAAAACUUAAUUAUUGUGACCAUUUUACAUCAACAGUGUCACUCAUUACUGGAAUAUGCCUCGCACUUCCAUUUGAGUCAAAUAAUUGAAUUCUUCAAAAAACUCUUUCAGGGAGUUCCCACUGUGGCUCAGCAGUAACAAACCCACCUAGUAUCCAUGAGGAUGAGGGUUUGAUUCGCUGGCUUGCCUCAGUGGGUUAAGGAUCUGGCAUUGCCAUAAGCUGUGGCGUAAGUCACAGAUGGUGCUCAGAUCCCAAGUUGCUGUGGCUGUGGCUUAGGCUGGCAACUGCAGCUCCAAUUCUACCCCUAGCCUGGGAACUUCCAUAUGCCGUGGGUAUGGCUCUCAAAAGACAAUAAUAAAAAAAAAAAGCUCUUUUGGGAGUUCUCUUGUGGCUCAGCAGGUUGAGGAUUCAGCAUUGUUACUGCUGUGGCUCUGGUUACAGCAGAGGCGCAAGUUUAAACCCUGGCCCAAGAACUCCCAACAUGCCAUGGGCACAGCAAAGAAACCAAAACAACUCUUGGUUCCUGUCAUCCUCGUUGCUUUGGUGUGUAUUCAUCAUCACCAGUAAAGGGGAUAAAGCUAAGCUCACACUGAAGGGCAAAGACCCUGUGCAGCCAACUGUUUUCCUGGACUCUGGCAGGCCUCACAGUCACUGGGACGGCGGGGAGCUGGCUCCAUGGUCUCUGACCCAGUCUCUCUGGGCGGAAUUUGAGACUUUGCAUUUCUCUCUGGUGAUGCUGAUGCUGCUGGUCUGGGGGCCACAUUUUGAGAACCACUGUCCUUCCCUGUCAGGGAGGGCAGCCUGGGCAGUAGGACAGGGGGUGGGGUAUUGUCAGCAUUACCCCUGUGCUCAUCCCUCAAGCACAGGGCUUAGGGCUGAGCAGAGAAUACGUUUGCCCAGAGUAUAUGAACUACUUUUUGCUGUAAGAACUCCACCAGAACCCACUAGGAUGGCUGUAACUAAAAGGAUGGACAAUAACAAGUGUUGACCAGGUUGUAAAGAAUUGGGACCCUUGUGCACCGCUGGUGGGAAUAUAAAAUGGUGCAGCCGCUUUGGGAAACAGUCCGGCAGUUCUUCAAAAAGUUAAAGAUCGAGUUACCAUGACCCAGCAAUUCCAGCCCACAGUACUUACCCAAGAGAAUUGGAAACACAUCCACAAAAGAAUUGUAUACGAAUGAAUGUUCAAAGCGACACUAUUUUAAUAGAUGAAAGAUGAAGAUAGCCCAAGUGUCCUUGAGCUGGUGAAUGGAUGAAGAAAACGUGGUCCAUCCAUACAAUGAGAUGUCAUUCAGCCAUAAACAGGAAUGAAGUACUGAUAGAUGCUCCAACAUGGAUGAACACGCUAAGUGAAAGAAGCUGCCAGAAAAAGACCACAUGUUGGAUGGUUCCAUCUGUUUGAAACAUGCAGAAUAGACAGACCCUGGGUAAUAGAAAGGGAAUUAGUGGUUUCCAGGGGCUGGCAGGAGUUUGGGGUUAAGCAUGGGGAGUGCUUGCUAAUGGGCACAGGGUUGUUGAAAAUGUUCUGAAACUAUAUGGUGGUGAUGGUUUCACAGCUCCAAAUGUACUAAAUAACACUGAAAAAGGGAAAUUUUGAUAUGUGAAUUAUAUCUCAAUAAAGCUGAAAGCCUCCCCACC